rnacentral:tRNA from 1 species
GGGCUCGUAGCUCAGUGGCAGAGCGGUCGGCUCAUAACCGAUUGGUCGCAGGUUCGAAUCCUGCCGGGCCCA